CAGUCGCCGCGGUAAUACAGAGGGUGCGAGCGUUAAUCGGAUUUACUGGGCGUAAAGCGUGCGUAGGCGGCUUUUUAAGUCGGAUGUGAAAUCCCUGAGCUUAACUUAGGAAUUGCAUUCGAUACUGGGAAGCUAGAGUAUGGGAAAGGAUGGUAGAAUUCCAGGUGUAGCGGUGAAAUGCGUAGAGAUCUGGAGGAAUACCGAUGGCGAAGGCAGCCAUCUGGCCUAAUACUGACGCUGAGGUACGAAAGCAUGGGGAGCAAACAGGAUUAGAUACCCCCGUAGUCCCUGUCUCUUAUAC
rnacentral:rRNA from 1 species